AUUGAACGCUAGCGGGAUGCCUUACACAUGCAAGUCGAACGGAGUGGCGAACGGGUGAGUAAUGUAUCGGAACGUGCCCAGUAGCGGGGGAUAACUACGCGGAAGCGUAGCUAAUACCGCAUACUAUUGGAGCGGCCGAUAUCGGAUUAGCUAGUUGGUGGGGUAACGGCUCACCAAGGCGACGAUCCGUAGCGGGCUUGAGAGGACGACCAGCCACACUGGGACUGAGACACGGCCCAGACUCCUACGGGAGGCAGCAGUGGGGAAUUUUGGACAAUGGGGGAAACCCUGACCCAGCCAUCCCGCGUGAGCGAUGAAGGCCUUCGGGUUGUAAAGCACUUUUGGCAGGAAAGCGGUACCUGAAGAAUAAGCACCGGCUAACUACGUGCCAGCAGCCGCGGUAAUAC
rnacentral:rRNA from 1 species